rnacentral:rRNA from 1 species
UACGUAGGCAGCAAGCGUUGUUCGGAAUUACUGGGCGUAAAGAGUGUGUAGGUGGUGUCGUAAGUUUGGUGUGAAAUCUCCCGGCUUAACUGGGAGGGUGCGCCGAAGACUGCGAUGCUGGAGUAUGGGAGAGGAAAGCGGAAUUCCUGAUGUAGCGGUGAAAUGCGUAGAUAUCAGGAGGAAUACCGAUGGCGAAGGCAGGUCUCUGGGCUAUAACUGACGCUCAUGCACGAAAGCGUGGGGAGCAAACAGG